GUGGGAGGGUUCUGACGUCCACAUCCUGGGCUGUCAUUCAUCUACCUCCGGCCCCGCCCCCUCGCGGCUGCGGCUGGGCGCGGAGCAGGGACGCGUCCGGGUACCGGGCACCGACCAGCUUGAGCCAUGGCUUCGGUCCCUGCGGAGGCCGAGACCCGCCAGAGGCUGCUGCGAAAUGUGAAGAAGGAGUCAGGUGUCAUCUGGGACCCUGUGCCUUCCUGGUGAGGUGUGAGGAAGCCCUGCCCCUGUCCCACCUCCGCUGCUGG